rnacentral:rRNA from 1 species
UACGUAGGGUGCAAGCGUUGUCCGGAAUUAUUGGGCGUAAAGAGCUCGUAGGCGGCUUGUCACGUCGGAUGUGAAAGCCCGGGGCUUAACCCCGGGUCUGCAUUCGAUACGGGCAGGCUAGAGUGUGGUAGGGGAGAUCGGAAUUCCUGGUGUAGCGGUGAAAUGCGCAGAUAUCAGGAGGAACACCGGUGGCGAAGGCGGAUCUCUGGGCCAUUACUGACGCUGAGACACGAAAGCGUGGGGAGCAAACAGG